GGCCACGUUUGCGCCACCUACAGCCCGGGAGGGUGGGCGUCAUGGCGGCUUCUGGGCCGCUCCCGGUGACCCAGGACCUGUCCACGUUGCAUGCCAAGUUGCAGGGGCUGCUGCGGUUCCUGACGGAAGCCCUGUCCAUUUCCAGUGCACAUACGGUGGAUUUCUACACAGAGUCCGUGUGGGAGCAAGUGGUCGACUUGCCCCCGGAGACAGUGCUGGCGGCGCUGAGAUCGGCGGCGGAGGCGGAGGCCCAGCCCUCGGAGGCGCGCCUCCAGGUGGAAGCCGAGAGUGGAUCAGAUAUUACUGAUUUUCCGAAAAUAUUUUGUGAAACUUCCCAGAAGCUGGUGAGUGUGGAAGCCUUCGCUCUGGCUGCUAAAUAUUAUUCUGUACAAAACUUGGGAAUAUGUACUCCUUUUGAACAGUUGCUUGUAGCCCUUCGUGGAAAUCAAAAACAGAGAACUGAUGAAAAUGUGAAGCUAGAUGAGUUUAUGAAUUUGAAAAAAUCUCAUGAAGUUCAGGCAAUGUCAGAGCUCAUCAGCAGUGUUGCUGAUUACUGUGGAAUAAAGCAGAUAAUUGACCUGGGUUCUGGAAAAGGCUACCUAAGCUCCUUUUUGUCCUUGAAGUAUGGCUUAAAAGUUUAUGGAAUUGAUUCCUCAAAUACCAAUACUCAUGGAGCUGAGGAGAGAAACAGGAAACUGAAGAAACAUUGGAAAGUCUAUCGUAGACGGUCAAAAUUAGAUGUCAAUGGACUGGCAUUACAAAUGACAAAAGAAAGGAAAGUGCAAGAUGAAAUUAAAUUUAAAGCCGAUAUUGAGGGAGUGUGUAACAGCAAUACUGCAAAUCAAGAAAAGAUGUCGACCUCGGACUUUCUGCAAGAUUUUUCAGGCUCUGUAAUUUCUAACAUCAGAAAACAAAUGGAAAACCUACAUGUUUACUCACAUCGAGAAGAAAAUUUGUGUUUUGAAAAUACCUUUUCUCUUAGGGACCUUUUGCCUAUUAAUGCCAUAGAACCUACUUCUUCAUCCCAUAUACCCAAGAGAAAAAUGUCUGAAGCAAAUAAAGAGAGAAGAAAAAUGACAUCAAAGUCAAAUGAAUCCAAUAUAUAUUCACCUUUAACAUCUUUUAUCACUGCUGAUUCAGAACUACAUGAUAUUAUUAAAGAUUUGGAGGAUUGUUUGAUGGUAGGUCUGCAUACUUGUGGUGAUCUUGCUCCAAAUACUCUGCGAAUAUUUACUUCCAAGUCUGAAAUCAAGGGAGUUUGCAGUGUGGGUUGUUGCUACCACCUCUUAUCUGAAGAGUUUGAAAACCCACAUAAAGAAUGUACCCAAGAAAAGUGGGGAUUUCCAAUGUGCCACUAUUUAAAGGAAGAGAGAUGGUGCUGUGGCCGGAAUGCCAGAAUGUCAGCAUGUUUGGCACUGGAGCGCGUUGCAGUCGGCCAAGGGCUGCCUACUGAAUCACUCUUCUAUCGUGCCGUACUUCAGGAUAUUAUUAAAGAUUGUUAUGGCAUCACCAAAUGUGAUCGGCAUGUUGGUAAAAUUUAUUCCAAAUCCUCUUCCUUUCUGGAUUAUGUCAGAAAGUCUCUAAAGAAGCUUGGAUUAGAUGAGUCCAAGCUGCCAGAAAGAAUUAUAAUGGACUACUAUGAGAAGUACAAGCCUAGAAUGAAUGAGCUGGAGGCUUUUAAUAUGUUGAAAGUUGUUCUGGCUCCUUGCAUAGAGACAUUGAUUCUUCUGGAUCGGCUUUGCUACCUGAAAGAGCAGGAUGAUAUUGCGUGGUCUGCACUCGUGAAGUUGUUUGAUCCUGUGAAAUCUCCCAGAUGUUAUGCCAUUAUUGCACUGAAGAAGCAGCAGUGAUUUCAAUUGAAGCAAGCAGUGAAAGCGUUCAGAGCAUGCUGGCGAGGAAAGGAAGGAAAUGAAUACACUGAUCCUCCAGGGGGAAGGAAACUAGCCUAUCCUCUGAGAGAAUCGAAUAAUGCCCAGUAAGUGAAGCCAUGAAAUUUUAUGGUCAUAAUUUAAAAUGUCCUUCAAAAAGAAAAGAAACAACAACAAAAAACCUCUCCUACAGAGUGCAAGAAAGAGCACCUUCCUCUUCCUCAGAAAGUAUAAUAUCACUUCAGCAACUGGAAGCAGGAACCCCUCAAAGAUAGGCAGCCUGUUUCCCGUAAGGAUAACUGAGCAAGAUGAAGCAAUUUCCUCAAGUAAACAGAAACCCUCAAAAAUAUAAAGAUUUUUCAUCUACACCCCUAUCUUACCAAGAUGUGUGGGUGGAAUUUGCUCCAUUUAGACCCUGGUAAACAAAGUUAAAAAUAGAGCCCAUCACAAAGGAAUGGUCCCAGUGCCCCAGCAGACACAGGCAGGAAAGGCUCUGUCCCAGCCGCCAACAGUGCUGGAGAGUCAGUUGGUCCCUCACUAGCUGAGCAGCCCCUGCUGCUGGCCGGCUGAAGAAAGGCUUGAGGGAAUGUCUCUUCAUAAUUAAUCCAGGUGGGAGAAGACCUCUACCCCUCUAGACUGGGUCCCGUGGGCUGAAGUGUUGAAGGAGAAACUGGGAUGGUGAGUCUGUCCACAGGUGUCCCUCCCAUUUGUACCAUGUAUCUAAGCACGCUCUCAGGUACCACUCACUAGUCCAGGAGGGAAGGAACCGACUGAAGCCAAGGAUACACACUGAGAGAGCUCUUGGGUGGAAGAGGCGCUGAGGAAGGCACAAGAAGUGGGGAGGGGCCCUUCCGGAAGGGCUGCGUCAGCCAAGGGCUUUGCACCUAGUAACUUCUGUGGGGGGAAGAGGGAGCCUGAGAGAAAGAACUUUCGCCUGCCGGGAUAAAAUAGUAAAUGCAAGCUGAAUACUCUCAUCAAGAGUGGGAAGCUGCUUGACUUCUGCAUGCUGAGAAGGAUUGUCUUCUGGACACGUCCGGGGGAGUUGGAAGGCAGGCCAUGCAUAUUUCCCCCAUUGGCCAUUCCUCUGCCCCAAGGUUGCAGGCAGAGGUAAGUUUCAUGCUUGCACAGGUUUCCUCUGUGUGAGUCUCUUCCCAUUCUGGUUAAUGCUUUCUUGUUCUCUAGGUUUCCUCAUAUGUGUCAAUUCCUGUGAGAAGCAGUGGCUGAUAUUCUGCCCACACUUCCACCGCCACCCAGGUGAGGAGUAAGAACAUCAUCUAGGUGGCUGCCAUGUGGAGAGCACAUGAACAUGUUCUAAACUGAAGCGUAAAAGACGCUCUGAAUGGACCUCUCAGGCUGGAGGACAGCCUAAGCAGUAAGUCUAUGAAAUGGGAAUACAGAGGGCAGAGCUAAACCAUUUCUGUGCCAGAGACCCCUUGGGCCCCUUCUCAAGCAAUGUUUUUUAACAUAUAGUAAAAUAUAUAAUUUGACAAAGGAAGCAAAUCAUAUAGAGACAGUUAACAACAGAGCUUCUAAAAAUGAUAAUUUAGUAAUAUGUGUGUUUAUUACUCAUUAAAUAAUAAGAUCAAGUAGCAGUUCUAAAAACUACUAUGGGGACUUCCCCGGUUGUCCAGUGGUUAAGAAUCUGCCUUCCAAUGCAGGGGACGUGGGUUCGAUCCCUGGUCAGGGAACUAAGAUUCCACGUGCCACAGGGCAACUGAGCCCACAUGCCACAACUAGAGAGCCUACGUGCCGUAACUACAGAGCCCACGUGCUGUAACUACAGAGCCCACAUGCUCUGGAGCCCACUCAGUCACCACAACUAGAGAGAAGCCCGCAUGCCGGAAUGAAGAGCCUGCGUGCUGUAGUGAAUGAUCCCAUGUGCCGCAACUAAGACCCAACACAGCCAAAAACAAACAAAUAAAUAUUUUAAAAUAAAUAAUAAAAACUACUAUGAUUUUGAAGUAACAAUAGAUGUGAGCAAUAUUUGAAGAUAUCGGCCAUAGCUGUAAUGUGACAUGAAAAUAUCUGCACCUUCUAUUGGCAAGAGCUUCAGGUACUGCCAGUCAUACUGAGGUUUUUUGUCCACGUUUAUAAUAGAAGGAAACACUGAAUUUCAAUCAGAGGUUAGUGAAAAUAAAGAAAUAGGUUUUCUCCAAGAUCCACGAUCAUGGAUGCCCUGAAUUCUAUCUGUGGAUUCCCUGGGUUCAGUAUACCCUCUACCUGUAGAACACAGGAAAACAGACCACCUAAAAUAACAACUAUGAAUAGCAAUUCUUCCAUAUUUAGAGGAAUGAUAUCUCCCCAAAUCAGUGUAAGCCUCCACCUACACUAUAUGAUAAACAACUAUUUCAGGAGUACUUAGGUUUAUGAAGGAUAUCAGUAUUCCUUUAUAUAUUUAAAAUGUAAAAUUUUAUAAGGCUUACUAUAAAAUUAUAGUAAUCAAGAGUGUGAUAUUUGUUUAAAGACAGUUAAAUAGGUGAAUGGAACAAACUAAUGAGUUAAGAAAUAGACCCACAUAUACAUAGGUGGUUGAUUUUCAACAGAGGUGUCAAAGCUAUUCAAGGGGGAAAACACUCAUUUCAACAAGUGGUGCUAACAAAUAAUUAGGUAUCAAAAUGAAAAAAAAAAAUCUCAACCCUUACCACGUAUCACAUACAAAAGGUUACUUGAAAUGGAUUUUAGAUCUAAAUGUAAGAGAAAACUAAAAACCUAGAAUAGAAUGUAGGAGAAAAUACUUUAGUUAAGGAACGGUUCCUUAGGACACAAAAAAACAUAAACCAUAAGCAAAAAAUCUGACAAAUUGGUCUUCAUUAAAUUUAAAAUGUCUGCUCUUGAAAAGACACUUAAGAAAAUGAAAAGCAGGAUACAGAUUGGUAAGAAAUAGUUGCAAAGCACAUUCCUGAUAAAGAGCUUAUCAGCAGAGUAUGUAAAUAUUAAAACAAAAACUCAGCAAAAAGAGAGGCAAAAGAUUUGCACAAAUAUUUCACCAAAGAAGAUAUGCAAACAGCAAUGAACACAUGUAAAACUAUUCAACAUGAUUAAUCAACAGGAAAAGAUGAAUUAAAAGGAGAUAAUCACUACACACCCAUUAGAAUGGCUAAAAUUAAAAGGAUUGAUAAUACUAACUGUUGGAGACAAUGUAGAACAACCCGAGCUUUAAAGAUUGCUGAUGGAGAUGCAAAUGAUACGGUUAUUUUGGAGAACAAAUUUUCGGAGAACAGAUUUUUAUAAAGUUAAACAUACCAUAUGACCCAACAAUUCCAUAGAUGUUUUCCUAGGAGAAAUGAAAACAGAGGUCCAUACAGCAAAUGUUAAUUGUUGCUUUAUCCAUAGUAGUCAAAAAUCCAUCAACAGCAGAAUAGAUAAAAAUAUUGUGGUACAUUCAUACAAUGGAAUACUUCUCAGCAACAGCUAGCAAUGAACUGCUGAUACCAGCAACAACAUGGAUGAAUUUCAAAAGCAUUACAGUAAGUGGCUAAGCAAAAUAAGCUAGACAUGUGCUGUACAUGCUGUAUUUAUAUGUCAUUUAUACAACAUUCUAGAAAAGCCAAAACUGUAGAAACAGAAAACAGAUCAGUCACUGGUUGCCACUGGGCUGUGGAUGAAGGGAAGAAUUGCCUACAAAGGGGCAUAAGGGAACUUUCUGGGGUGAUGAAAAUGUCCCAUAUGUUAAUUUGGGUGGUGAACACACAACUUGCGUGUGUGUCAAAAUUUAUUGAACUGCACUUUAAAAGGGUGAAUAUUAUUGCAUGUGACUUGUAUCUCAAUAAAACCCGACUUUUAAAAAAUUCUAAAGUUUUAUCAAAGAGAAAUGAUAAAUGAUAUUUUGUUACUAGAGCUAAAUUGUCAUGUUAAAGAAUCCAAAAUCAGGAUUUUCCACCCAAAAUGAAAGGCACUUGUCCAUACUCUAAAUACAGAGAGGAACAGAUGUAUUGGCUCAGUAUCUUAUUGGUUUUGUAUGCCAUUUGGAAAUUGGAUUGUUUUGACAAAUUACUUGCUAGCCAGGAAAAGCAUUAAGGGAUUAUUUGUCCACUGUGAUUUCAGAUUUUCCCUAAUGAUAAAAUCAUUUGAAAUAAGAGGGCAGCCAAAGUAGUUUUACUCAGGGAGAUAUUAUUUCAUACAUAGACAUGUCAGAAACAGCAUAAGCAAGAAAAGGAGAUUACUCCAAUUUUUAUUUUAACUUCAAGUGUUAUAAAUAACAGCAGCAAACAAUUUCAAUGCUAAAUAGCACAAAAUUCAGAUUUCCUUUUAAGAGCUUCUCAACUUAAAGACUUGAAAUCAUUUAUUAAUGUGGGUGUUGUAAACUUCACGUUGCAAUUUGAAUCUUUACUUCUCAAUCCAUUUUUUUAAUAAGUUUAUUUAUUUUACUUUUGGCUGUGUUGGGUCUUCAUUGCUGCGGGCAGGCUUUCUCUAGUUGCAGCAGGCGGGGGCUACUCUUCAUUGCAGUGCACGUGCUUCUCAUUGCAGUGGCUUCUCUGGUUGUGGAGCACAGGCUCUAGGUACAUGGACUUCAGUAGUUGCAGCACAUGGGCUCAGUAGUUGUGGCUAACGAGCUCUGGAGCACAGGCUCAGUAGUUGUGGCGCAUGGUCUUAGUUGCUCUGCGGCAUGUGGGAUCUUCCCAGACCAGGGAUCGAACCUGUGUCCGCUGCAUUGGCAGGCAGAUUCUUAACCAUUGUGCCACUAGAGAAGCCCUCAAUCCACCUUAAUACCUACUUUAAUGCUAUUUGAGGAUACCAUCAGAUUAUAUAUCGUUGAUUUUACUUGUUUAUGGGCUCUAAUGUCUUCCUACUGUUCUAUAGAACGUUUUACUUUAAUACAAUUCUAUGUAUUUCAAGAAUUUCUUUGCAGAUAAGUGGUGUGUCCUUCAAUAAAGCAAAGAAAAACUUUAAAAUCUUCAUUAAAGCAAUAUUCUUCAUUUAUUUGUUCAUAGAACAUUAACAUUAUCUUCCUUAUCUAGAAGAGCUUUUUUCUCAACUACAGUUCAUAGGAUGAAGACCCACCACUUAUUUUAAAUGAGCUUCUGUGUAACUAUCAAAUUAAAUGAAUUAAUAUUUACCUUUGUGCUUUUUAAAAGUAUUGUCAUAACAUUGGUUGUUUUAAUGCACUAGCGGUAGAUAGUUUAGUUUAUUUUUAUAUUCUGUGUUUUUUUUUUGCCAGAAAGACUAAGUAAACUGCUAGAUUAGUGCAUAUUUUUAUAUUUUUCUGCAGAUAUACUUGAUCUCUGAGUAAUUAUUUGCUGUAUUCACAUGAGGUUUAUUCUUUUGUAUCUCUAUGUCUACUGCCAUCUAACACACUAGCUGCUAGCCACGUGGGAUUAUUUAAAUCAGUUAAAAUGAAAUGAAAUAAAAUUAAAAAUUCAGUUCCGUGCUCACACCAGACAAAUUUCAUGUGCUCACCAGCCACAUGUGGUCCGUGGCUAUCCUAUGGAGCAUUCCCAUCAUCACAACAGUUCUAGUGAACGGCGCUGGUCCAGAUCAGGGUCAGAAAACUUUCUUCUCGUAGGGCCGGAUAGUAAAUAUUGUAGAGUUUAUGAGCCAACAGGCAAAACUGAGUUUACUGUUUAGGCACUUAUAUAACCAUUUGAAAAGUAGAUUUAUUUUAAAAUGGAAAAAACCUUCUUAACUUGCAGGCGGUGAAAAGCAGGCAGUGGGCUGGAGUUGAGCCAUAGUUUGCCCAGCACUGGUGCCAGUCAUUCAGUCCUUUAUCCAUUAAGCACAUCUUUUUUGAACAGAUCUAUGUUUUAAGUGCUGGACUAAAUAUUAAGUUUAGCAUAGUGAACAAGAAACAUAGUCUCAGCUCUCAAGGAGUCCAGAACGUAACAGGAAAGGCACUACAACAAAAAUUACACAAUUAAUUAGUCAAUUCUUAUAAUUUAACAAAUAAAAUGAAGGAGCUAAACAGGAUUUUAUGAAAGGAAGUAACAGGGGAACCUAAACUGGUGUAAAAGAUUGAGUUGAUUCUAAAAAUUAUCUGCAGCUAACAUUAUAUUUUUAAUGUAUAGCAACUAUUUAGACUUUCCAGCUGACCCAUGUGAAGAAAGCACUGUAAAAAUUAAUAAAUCUAGGUAAUAUUUCUAAGUGGGCUGAUGUUCAAAUAUAUUAAUUCUUACAUACCAUCUGUUUUAUAUGUGAAUGAUAGAAAUUAUAUUUGCUAAUAUCACAUUUACUGAUGUUUGGUAUUUUAUUUUCCUCUACUAGCAUCUUUUAUUAGAAUAAAAGUGUAUAAAUUAAAUGCUUCCUUGUAACUAGAAAAACUUGCCAUGGACUAACUCCCCAAAUGGCCCCAAUUUUCUAUUAA